rnacentral:rRNA from 1 species
UACGGAGGGUGCGAGCGUUAAUCGGAAUAACUGGGCGUAAAGGGCACGCAGGCGGGUUUUCAAGUCAGAUGUGAAAUCCCGGGGCUUAACCUGGGAAUAGCAUUUGAGACUGGGAGGCUAGAGUGCUUUAGGGAGGGGUGGAAUUCCACGUGUAGCGGUGAAAUGCGUAGAGAUGUGGAGGAAUACCGAAGGCGAAGGCAGCCCCUUGGGAAUGUACUGACGCUCAUGUGCGAAAGCGUGGGGAGCAAACAGG